GAUGAACGCUGGCGGCGUGCCUAAUACAUGCAAGUCGAGCGAACGGACGAGAAGCUUGCUUCUCUGAUGUUAGCGGCGGACGGGUGAGUAACACGUGGAUAACCUACCUAUAAGACUGGGAUAACUUCGGGAAACCGGAGCUAAUACCGGAUAAUAUUUUGAACCGCAUGGUUCAAAAGUAAAAGACGGUCUUGCUGUCACUUAUAGAUGGAUCCGCGCUGCAUUAGCUAGUUGGUAAGGUAACGGCUUACCAAGGUAACGAUGCAUAGCCGACCUGAGAGGGUGAUCGGCCACACUGGAACUGAGACACGGUCCAGACUCCUACGGGAGGCAGCAGUAGGGAAUCUUCCGCAAUGGGCGAAAGCCUGACGGAGCAACGCCGCGUGAGUGAUGAAGGUCUUCGGAUCGUAAAACUCUGUUAUUAGGGAAGAACAUAUGUGUAAGUAACUGUGCACAUCUUGACGGUACCUAAUCAGAAAGCCACGGCUAACUACGUG
rnacentral:rRNA from 1 species